AUGCACUAUUUAGAGGAGUCGAGCGGCCAGCUCGUGGCCGCACGAUCUCGCUCCUAUGGCCCCGCGUGUGCGGCAGGUGCUACCUGGUCGGGGCGGUUUCCCGAGUCCACGCCGCUCGACGCCCGAUCCGUUCUUAUCUAUUCUUUCACCGCCCAUCUGUCCCGUCGAGCCAUAGCGCUCGCCGCCCUCGAUAGCUACCUCCGCGCCGUCCCACCCGAGGCCGUCGCUGCCGUCGUCGACCUCGUGUUCGCCUCCUCCCCAUCCUCCACCUCGCCCUCCAAGCUCUUCCGCACACUCCUCUUCUCCUUCCCGAAGGACGACGGUCACGGCCAUGCCGCCGGCUUCUGCCAUCCGCUCCCCCGCCUCUGCUACCCCAGGGACGCUAUGUGUGCACUUCUCGUGAGGGUCUUCCGGUCGCUCCUCCACCGGGAGGACGCCCAGCCUAGCCGGCUCCAGCAACAGGCCGGAAUAAGAGAGCACGUGAACGAGGGGCUCUCCGGCGAAAUUGUGGGAGAUGCCGGGGCCGGGGGGCAGCGACCGCUCGUACGAUGCGGGCUGGGAUGA
rnacentral:rRNA from 1 species